GGCUGGUCCAAGGGCAGUGAUAUUUACAACGAAUUGAUCACAAAAAGUUAACAGAUUUGUUCCUCUUCCACUCCUAGUUUCACUUGACUAGCCUUAA
ensembl:misc_RNA Y_RNA Y RNA